UACGUAGGGUGCGAGCGUUGUCCGGAAUUAUUGGGCGUAAAGAGCUCGUAGGCGGUUCGUCGCGUCGGCUGUGAAAACCCGGAGCUCAACUCCGGGCCUGCAGUCGAUACGGGCGGACUUGAGUGUGCAGGGGAGACUGGAAUUCCUGGUGUAGCGGUGAAAUGCGUAGAUAUCAGGAGGAAUACCGAUGGCGAAGGCAGGUCUCUGGGCUGACACUGACGCUCGAUGCACGAAA
rnacentral:rRNA from 1 species